ACAGAGGGCUCAAACGUUGUUCGGAAUCACUGGGCAUAAAGGGCGCGUAGGCGGCUCGUUAAGUCGGUUGUGAAAUCCCCCGGCUCAACCGGGGAACGGCAUCCGAUACUGGCGGGCUCGAGGACGGGAGGGGUAAGUGGAACUCCAGGUGGAACGGUGAAAUGUGUAGAUAUCUGGAGGAACACCGGUGGCGAAGGCGGCAUCCUGGACCGGCAUUGACGCUGAGGCGCGAAAGCCAGGGGAGCAAACGGGA
rnacentral:rRNA from 1 species